rnacentral:rRNA from 1 species
CCUACGGGGGGCUGCAGUGGGGAAUAUUGGACAAUGGGGGGAACCCUGAUCCAGCCAUGCCGCGUGUGUGAAGAAGGCCCUCGGGUUGUAAAGCACUUUCAGUGAGGAAGAACGCCUGGUGGUUAAUACCCAUCAGGAAAGACAUCACUCACAGAAGAAGCACCGGCUAACUCCGUGCCAGCAGCCGCGGUAAUACGGAGGGUGCGAGCGUUAAUCGGAAUUACUGGGCGUAAAGCGCGCGUAGGUGGCUUGAUAAGCCGGUUGUGAAAGCCCCGGGCUCAACCUGGGAACGGCAUCCGGAACUGUCAAGCUAGAGUGCAGGAGAGGAAGGUAGAAUUCCCGGUGUAGCGGUGAAAUGCGUAGAGAUCGGGAGGAAUACCAGUGGCGAAGGCGGCCUUCUGGACUGACACUGACACUGCGGUGCGAAAGCGUGGGUAGCAAACAGGCUUAGAUACCCCGGUAGUC